rnacentral:rRNA from 1 species
UACGUAGGGCGCAAGCGUUGUCCGGAAUCAUUGGGCGUAAAGAGCUCGUAGGCGGCCUGUCGCGUCUGCUGUGAAAUCCCGGGGCUUAACCCCGGGCGUGCAGUGGAUACGGGCUGGCUGGAGGCAGGCAGGGGAGAACGGAAUUCCCGGUGUAGCGGUGAAAUGCGCAGAUAUCGGGAGGAACACCGGUGGCGAAGGCGGUUCUCUGGGCCUGUACUGACGCUGAGGAGCGAAAGCCAGGGGAGCAAACGGG